rnacentral:lncRNA from 1 species
UUUUUUGUUUUUGUUUUUAUUUUGUUUUUUAUUUUUUUUAAGGAGAGAGAGAAGGAAAACCCGAGUCCCCAUCCGUAGUAGGCAUAAUAAUAGUAUAGGUCUCCUCCCCUUAACUUUUUCUUUUCCUUUAAGGUCCGUUUGGAUAUUUUAAAAAACAUAGCAUAGAUAAACUAUACUAUACCGAUAGAAAAUUUAUCCUAUAAAAUAUUUGGAAGAAAAAAAAAUACCGUAAUUUUUAAAGUAUAGUUAAACUAUACUCGAAAAAAUAGAGCAAAAUUAUAAUUCACUCUAACCAAAAGAAAAAAAAAUUUCACCAUUCUUGGGCAAAAAUGCAUCAAGUUCUAACUUUUAAAUUUCAAAAUAAAAUUUUAAAUUUCAACAUAGAUUUUAAAUUUUAAAAUUUAAAUUUUACAAUUUAAUUUAUAUACAAAUUUUUAAUUUCAAUUUUGANNNNNNNNNNNNNNNNNNNNNNNNNGGCUAUGGCAGAGAAACCUUCAUUCCUUCUCUAGAUUUCUCUCUCAUCUCUCCAUAUCCUCUUCUCAAAUUCGCUGGGGUGUGAGAAGAUGCUUGCGAACGCGUUGAGCGACAGAUUGACUUUUCGUGCCGCCGUUGGCGAGAUUUCGUGCUUGUUUUCGUCGCGGGUUCCAUAUUGAGGCGUAAGCUUUUAGGAUUUGGCUUAAUCCUUAUUCUAGUUUCUAAUAUGCCUAAUAGCAUUCUAACAUGUUUUCUCUACUUUAAUUUGAUAUUUGAGUAUUAUUCAUAUUAGGCUUAGAAAAUGGGGUUUGGAAAUAUAUGAGGGUUUGAAUCUCAUUUGAGCCCUCCGUAAACCAAAUUGCUAGGUAACGAACGCCGUUGUGAAGCGGUUCGGCCAAUCCGACGAGCCGUUACAAAGUUAUUAAAGAAAUGGAUUUUAGGCUUCGGGUCCGCCGGAGCGGCCGAGACGUCGUAAAUCGCGAAAAUGGAUUGACGGCAUCGUGACAUAUCGAAGACCUUAAUUUUCGCACAUGGAUUGGAGCCGUUCGUGUCGCGCCAAGAGAUCGGGCAACGAAGUGCCGGGUGGCGCGGGAGGCGAUGCAAGUGUCGACAAAGCACAUCGGAACGCCGAAAUGGGUGUUGUGCUUACCGAAAAGCGAUGGUCGCCCUUCUAUUGUUCUAAGAAAUGAGAUCUUCAUAUGAUGCAUAUUGAAUACAUAUAGAAUUGGAAAGGAAUGCUGUUAACAAGCUAUAGAAAUGCUAGAUUAAAUGCCAUUCAUUGAUAAUGCUUUUGAUGCAAUAAUGAUACAAGGCCUAACGAAUGUUGCCUUUAUAAGGAACAGCAUACAUAAGGAAUGUAUGAUGACAGUUGUAGAAUAUGCUAAAUGUAGAUGCAUAAUGAAUUAAUGCUAAAAGAAUGCAUGAGAUGCCUAAGUAUGGACUAUCUUUGGAUAAUGAACUAUUGUUUAUUACCCGUGACAAUCAUGUGUGCUAGUGGUAUUAUGUGCAUGAUGAUAUAUUAUGCGAUUUACACUAUUGUGAUAUGCUUAACAUGAAAAAGCAUACUAGAUGACAUAAUUUGCCCCAUGUUGUGAACAUAGUGGACAAUCUAUAUAAUAUUAGAUCGAUAAGCUGGCCAUUAAACCUAGCAUCUGAACCUAGUAAACACUUGUGGUGAUUGAUCAUAUAUAUGUCUGGUGUCAUUCAAUGAUGUUAGGACCCUAUUAUUGGUGUAAAUGUGAGACUUGACUUGAAAUAGUAAACAAGGGUGACAAAUGACAAUAGAGGACAUGAUUGGCAUCAGAAGGAUUGUUAACAUAGUUUAACCAUAAUUGCAACAUUCGUCCAAAGUUGAAUAGAGAGUGGCAUGCAUUAAAUAAGGUAGAAGGACCUAUCAUGACAUACAUUGCAUUCUGUGACGUGCUCAUGAAUCCUCCAAGUUGAGAUUGAAUCGAUACUCACCGUUACGUCUUGGCUUGCGGAGUAGCUCCCGUCGACGGUGCGCUCCGGAGUGCGUCACACUGGGCGUUAAAUUCCCCCAGAUGAUGGUCCCCAGCAGGUUCCGAGGUUCCCCCGUUUUUAAGGAUUUUGGUGUUAGCGAGUUAUUUGGGGUUAACAGUGGUAAACCGGUAAGAUUGGGUCAUAGCCAAAUGAUUGUAUCAACAUAUGCAUUAUGAAGUUAUGAUUUGCAUAUCCUAGUAUCGCAGAGGAUCAGGGCCUGAGGUAUGCUGAGGACGUCGCAUCGCUCGAGGCCUGGUAUUCUAGUGCGGUAACUCCGCAAACGUUGACUCAAGACCGGUCGGUGGUUAAACCUUGUAAAGGAGAUAAAACCUAUGAUUAAAACGUGAUUGACAAGAUCUAAAGAUAGCAGGAACUUAAAUAUCAAAUGGAUGAGCUAUGGUUAGCCCCAGAUUGAAAGUAGUGCAAUGAACUACUAGAUUUGGUGCAUCAGUUGCAUUAUGGCAUUGAUUGCUAUAGCAUUACAUUAUUGCCAUUCGUGAAGGCACUGCAUGUUUUUAUUCGUUGCCAUAAUCAAGAUAUAUAUCAUCGUUUAUUGAAUCUAACUUGCAGUUGCCUCCCCUUGGACCUAUUGGUCGAACAUGUCCCUGGGUGGCCGCUAACCACUGGGAACCAUGUGAGGUUGGUUCUACACCCCACUCUGUUUUGGGGGCCUCGGUGUUUACAGGUUCACACUCGUGAGCGGCGCGCGCGGCGAAGCGGGGGUACCGCUCCAUAGUUAGCGCCGUACCCCGGACCAGAGAUAGCGGGUACCCUGAGUCUGCCUACUUAGGGAUGCCCAGAAAAAUGAAAAGUAUCAACGUUAUAAUAAUAUUUUAAAGCCAUAGAUUGUAUUUGGAAGCUAAAAGAAUGUAUUAUGUAAUUGUGAUUAAAAUGAAUCUAAUCGUUGAAUGAAUGUAAUAAUUAUAUGGAUGUGUUUAUGUUGUUGAUACCUUUCCAUUAUGCAAUCUGAUUGAAAUGUAGUUCCUGAUUGCGACUUCGUAGCAUUGUCUUGCAUUGCGAAGCCUUGAAUGUACAGGGGAGACUCUGUCCCGGGUACAGGAGAAAACCUUGUCCAUUCGGCGAUCUGUUCGGCGCCGCGACCGGCCAAAUAGGCGGCCGUCGCGGGCGUGAACAGUUUUCAUAUAAGGAUUCAUGGUUCCCAAUCAGUAAUAGAAAUGCUAAGUCUCACAUGCAUUGCACUCGUACCAUAGCGGCGGUCUAAUAGUUUUACUAUAAUAAUUCAUGCAUGUUCAAGCAUUCUAAAAUUCAUAUUAAAAUAAUAACAUGAAAUGCAUUGAAUUUCUAUUUUUUACAAACUAUCUUGCCAAAUUAUGAGCAUUUCUCAUAUCAUAGGUAGGUCCAAACCAGCCGAACCGUCGCGUGCUCCUUUGAUUCGCCGAACGGGUUGCACGAGUCUCAGAAUACGCCUAAAGUAAUCAGCGAAGAAUACGAGGGCAUUACGACCAUCUUAUAAAAGAACCAAAAUUAGCCUAGAAGCCAAAAGGCCCAAAAACCUCACCUCAAGAGGAAGAAAUCUCUUCAAAGCUCCAAAGAGGCUAGAACCCUUGCCAAACAGCCCAAGGAAGGCUUCUAAACACAAAUCAAUCUAGCCCAAAAGCCCUAGCGUUCAAAAUGCCCAAAAUAACCCUAAUUCUCAUAUCUAGGGUUCAUACUACCAAAUAAUCCUCAAAUCAAGGUCUAAGGGAGGGAAAGAGCAAACAAACCUCUAAGAAGCUCACCCAAGCUCCAAGGGAUAAAGACUCCUCUUGGUAAGCUCAAGUCACAGCACAAGCACCAAGAAGAAGAUAGGGGAGGCAAGAGAUGCUCCAAGUCACUAGUGGCUCUCAAACUUCAUUCUUCUUCCCUCCUUCUCCUUCUUCUUCUCUCCUUCUUCUCUCUCUAACCAAGGUUAUGGAGGAGCGAGUGUGGGAGAGAAAUGACGAAAGAGAGAGUGGAAGGGUAUUAUUAGGCAUCCAAAGCUAACAAUAUCCCAGGAGGUCCCUCAAAAUCUAAAUUGCAUCAGCCCGGUCUGGGCAGUUUUCGCCCAGAGGGACCGGUCUCUCCCCAGCAGGGACCGGUCUCUCGCUGCGAACCCGAAAAACCAUCGUUCGGGAACCGGUCUCUCCCUGUGCGGGACCGGUCUCUCACUGCGUAGACGCGCUCGGGGACCGGUCACGCACGCCAGGGACCGGUUGCCUCAGGGCUGCCGCAACACUGCUCAUUGGGGGACCGGUCUCUCCUUCCAGGGACCGGUCACCGAGAGUGAAAACUCUCAGGACGAAACCAAAACUCAGGUUUUCGAACUUUUUAGGUCGGAAAACAUUCUACAACCCUCCACCAAGUGUGGAAAAGCUCGAAGUACACCCAAACACUCGAACCUCGCAAUUUGCAAAGGUCCAGUGCGUCACAUUCAGGGCAGAUCAUGACGGGGCGGAUUCGGGACGGAUUAAAAUUUUUUUCGUUUCCUGCCCCGAAUCCAUCUCAGAUCAUAAAAAUAACCACAUUUUUCGUCCUGAAUUUGUUUAUUUUCUUCCGUUUACUAUCCCAGUCGGGAUGAAUCGGAGAGCGAGCUCCACCAAUCCGGAUCCGGUUGCAUUCCUAGGCGUGGAAGCAUCCAUCUGGUUGGAGAAGAGACAUGAAAAACUGUCAAAGGAAGGAUUUCCGCGAGAGUUAACUUUCAUUCCGUAAAGAAGAUAAGACACACUAAUUAAUUAAGGACAAUAUUUCAAUUAAUAAGAGGUGGUUCCGGCGAUGUUCGAAAAGUCAAAAAUUCCAAAAGAAGAUGCCAUAGAAAUUGGAAAUAGGUGCGACCUCAGAACUACAUUGUUAGAAACGUGAUUUUCUCUAAUAUUAAUUAUUAGAAUCAGUAUUUAUAUUGAUACUGAUUAUAUAAUUUAAAAUCUAAAAUAGAAUAAAAUAUAAUACAGAGAAAAGAUAUUAGAAGAGAAAGAAAAUAACUAAACUAAUACUUUAUUAAUAAAAAAUAUUUGAUCUGAGCAACAUCCAUACAACCAUAUUUACUGUGACUUAUUCAUCUAAUUAAUUUAUGCUUAACUAUAUAGCUCUAUCAAAUCAUAAGAGAUGAUAAAUCCAACUUUUAUUUUGGAUAAUUAUAUGUCACGCCCCAAUCCCCGCCAAUUUGGUCGGGUUCGGGUCACGUCAACAGACGCCGAACGGACAGAGCCUCCCCUGUCCGCCCAAGGCUCUAACAACAUGUAUAAAUAGGCAAUCAACAAGAGAAUUGCAUAUAUAAUAUAAGGCUUGCGCGAGGGCAAGCCACAACGGAAGCGAAAGCUCUAAGCUAAAUAUACAUCACACAUGAUAUUUGAUUUCAUUUAAACCAAAUUCAAGUAAACAAAACUAUUACAUUCCAUUCAACCAUCAUAUCUUUUUUACAUUUAGUCAUCCACCAAAUACAUGAUUGUUUACAACUUUACAUCUCUAAUUCAACAAAAUAAAGCUGCUACAUGUACACCAAAAGGGAAAUGACUACAAAAUGUAAUGCUACUCCGGUGGCCGCUACCUACGGCGCUAAACCCUUGCCUCGGUCCUCCGCCGCCCCGCUCGUGCUAGGACCUGUAGGGUUAGUGGUGUGAGAACUACAACGAAGUUCCCAGUGGGCUCGGCAUCCGACCUCGCCGACUUACCCACUAGGUCCAUCCAGGCAUAAGUAUUUCAAAGGAGGAAAAGUAACCACUACUAAUGCAACUAAUACUAUGCCUGCAAGAAAGAAGUCAGUAGAUAUAUAAUUUCAAUGCGAUAAUGGAAAUGCAUGCAUGCUCCAAUCAUAAUCAAGCUUUGGCUCUUACCCAAUCUUACCGGUUAACUCUGUUAACCCCAAUAACUCACAACCCAAAAUCCCUUAAUAACGGGGGACUCGAACCUCCCUAGGGACCGUCAACUGGUGGGACUUUACCUCGCCCAGUGGUGACCAACUCCGGAGCGCACCGCUCGAGGGGGAGCGACCUCCCUCAAGCCAAGACGUAAUGUGAGUAUCGAUCUAAUCCCCAACUUGAGGAUUCAUAGCCACUGGUCACAAUGUCGAUGUCAUGGUAGGUCUCUACCUAUUCAUUCUUGCCACUCUCAAGGUCAUAUCCGUGAUAAUGCCAUAAUUUGGUUAAGCUAGAUUUAACGGUUUAUUUCUCAAUGCCAAUCUUGUUUCUAUGUCAAUGUCACCCUUGUUUUCUAUUGUCCAAGUCCAACCUCACAUUCACACAACUUGAGGGUCCAAUCACACAUGUCCUCUUGGUUAUAUCGUCCACUAUGUUCAACUACGUUAGAAACAUAUAAAUGAAGUCAAACCAAGUUCCACAUGUAUCUACUCUACUAUGCAUGAAUGGGUAUAUCUAUACAUAUAUGCUCAAGAGUAGAGAAAACAGACAUAGAAGGGAAUCCAACGAUUCCGGCGUGCACCCCCCACCUCUAGUAAUCGUGUGGGUGAAGUAUAUGACGACUCCCAGAUUUUACGAAAGCCGCUUCCGCGCCCUAUAAUCAAAACGGUGCCAUAUUAGGCCUUUUGUACAUGUACUAUACUCUAUCAUUUUCGUAAUGUUAAAUGGAGUUGCCCAACGUGUUUAGGGCACCCCCAAUUAGGUUUCCACGGGGUCAAUUUGUCCCCGAACAAUCCUAGGGCAAAAGCCCCAAAUUCAAUCCCUAAUAUUGUCAUUUAGGGUUUUCCGUGAAUCGAUCCCAACCUUAAGCAAACAAUAGCUUAGGAUCAUCUAAGAAGCAUCCUAGUAAGGUUUCUAGACCAUUAGAACCAACCCUAGGGCUUCCAUGAUAAACCCUACCCAACCACCAUGAGAGCACUUGAGCUCUCAUGGGUUCCAUGGAGUUCAAGGCAUGUAGAAGGCUCCCAUGGCCAAAAACAACCGAAAGCUCCAAAACAUAGGGAUUAAAAUUAAGCCCUAGACUCAUUUCUACCAAAAACUCACCUUAGCCCAAGCCCCUUCAAGUCCUUCUUGUAGGAGAGCUUGUAGAACCCACCAAAGCCUCCAAAUCCACCUUCCCUUGCUUCUUCUUCUCCUUCUCCUUCUCCAAGCCCUAGAGCAAGAGUUUUAGAGAGAGGAAGAGAGGAAAUGGGAGAAAAAGGUAAAAAUGGCUGUGGGAGAGAGAGGGGUGUCCACAUAUAGUGUUGUGACAAUUGCAUUUAAACCCCUCAACUUGUUUCCCCUUGAUCUGCCCAGACUGGGCGUUUUUCGCCUUCGGGGACCGGUCUCCCCGACCAGGGACCGGUUCCCGAACGUGGGUGUUCCAGGACUUAGCCAAAUUUUCGGGUUUUUCGGCUGUUGUGCAGCGAGGGACCGGUCUGCCCCUUCAGGGACCGGUCUCCCGAGGACCGGUCUCACCACCAGGGACCGGUUGCCUCAAGACUUCCUGGCAGGCUAUGCGUACGGGGACCAGUCUCUCCUUCAGGGAUCGGUCCCCGAGAGCACAAAAUCUGGGACUUAACCAGAUUUUCUGAUUCUCUCUCUCGGGUCCCUUUUUGCUUCUCCUAUGAGCCCUAAUGUGCUCAGGGUCCAUUCUAACUCGUUCAAUUCCGCGUUCCGCUCGUUUUGACGGAACUCGGCACGAUUUAAGAGGGAUGUGGUAUGUUACAUUCUCCACCCCUUAAUUUAGUUUCGUCCGCGAAACUUCUAAGGUUGAAAUUUAAAUUUCAUACCUCACUUCGGAUCCUCGGAGAGGUGAGGAUAACUGUAGCACACUGGACCUUUACAAAUUGCGAGGUUCGAGUGUUCGAUUUGUAUUCCGAACUUUUCCACACUUGGUGGAGGCCCGUCGAUGGUAUACCGGCCUAAAAGUUCGAUCUCGAGAGUUUUGGCUGAGUCCUGAGAGUUUUUACUCUCGGGGACCGGUCCCUGAUAGGAGAGACCGGUCCCCCAGUGAACAGUGCUGCGCAGCCGGCGAGGCAACGGUUCCUGGCAGUCGAGACCGGUCCCCGAGCGCGUGUCACGCCCCGGGACCAGCGGAAGCCCGCCCGGCGCGUGCCCAGACCCGCCAUAUGUCUACAACAUAUAAGGCGUCUAAAACAACAAUAGUAAANUAAUUCUCUCUCUCGGGUCCCCUUUUUGCUUCUCCUAUGAGCCCUAAUGUGCUCAGGGUCCAUUCUAACUCGUCCAAUUCCGCGUUCCGCUCGUUUUGACGGAACUCGGCACGAUUUACGAGGGAUGUGGUAUGUUACAAACGCGCUUAGCACAACUGGGGCAUCGAAUUCACUAUUUUGUUUCCCCCGAUAUGGUUGCCGAUUUGCGACAAAGCCCAUCCACUCUCCAAUUUUCCAAAACCACACCUAAAUAUAAGUGUAAAUCCAAUAAACCCCUUUUUCUCGAAAAUCGUGCAUCAAAAACCCAAAUCCAUCUGUCCCAUUGGGUUCAAAAUAGUCGAACCAUCAAAAACGAGCUAUUGGAUCACUAUAAAUGGAUUCCAAUACGCACCAGAAGCCAUCUCCACUCAUUGGCUUCUCCAGAAAACCGGAGUUACUAUUCAUUUUAAGUGAUUAGUAAAGAUCACGUAACUUCUCCAUCCUAACUCGUUUUCUUCGGAAACUUGACGAGUGCGUAUGUAAUUAAAUUACACACAUAAACAUCGUCAACAGAGAGUUUAGCUACACUGCCAAAUUCUCAGUCCUUACAUAAAUCUCACGCCUUUUGGUGUUGCCUCAUUCUUUUUUAGAACCCUCUGUACCUACUAAUGCUCGUGAUCGAUGUGAGGGGAAUGCAGGUUAGAUAGCGUCUCCUUCCCGGGUCGGUCAUGCUAGUGAAGGACCUGACAGAGGCUAGCUUUUGGAGUUGGCAUACUGUACAUAUUAGACUCGCUAGGCUAACUAUGAUGCAUUUUAUUUACAGUUAUCUAGAAAAUUAUGCCUUCAUCAUUUAGUUAAUUUUUAUUCCAACUCUGAUAUCUGUUAGUUAUAGCUUCUAGGAUUGCUUUUGCAGAUUCUUUGCGCUUCAUGUGCACGAGCCUUCCCGUGCAUGAGGUGGAUUUGUUGGUAGGCCUAAAUUUUUGCCCUAACCCAGGGCGUGACAAAGGAUGUUCGAAAGUUUGAGACUAUCUGACAAUCUCAAGUUGAAAACUUGAAUUUGACAAAGUGUAUUAGAAAAACAUGUUCAAAUUAUGUUGAGGCAUCUAACAAUCUUAAGUUGAAAUUGAAUUUGAUAUGUUAUAAAAAUUUUAUUUUUAGCCGUUGACUUGUGAUCACCUGAGGCGUAAAAGAAUAAUUUUAAUUGUACUUGAAAGUUUAAAUGAGGCCCUAUGCUAGGCCAUUUAGAAAGCAAACUAUGUUAGAGAUAAUGUUAAUGAAUAAUUAGAUUAGUAUUAGAUUAUUUGAUCAUAUCUAUUAUUAGAUUUAGUUAUUUAAAUUGUGAUUAAGAUGAAAUCGAAUUAGAGUAGGAUUCUAUAUAAUUAGUUAUAAAUAGAGAGGCCGGAAUCAUUGUGGCUAAUGAAGCCAGGAGUCGCCCUAAUGAAUUACCGCUCGCGGAAGGUUCCGUAUAGUGAUGAGUUGUUUUCUUCAAUAUAGUUAUUUGUGUUUUGCUUCCGCGACAACGUACCAGAUUCUUUGAUUUGUCUUCUUCCUCUCUUCUCUCUUUAUGUGGAGAUCUCUAUAUACCAUAACAAGUAUAUAGAACGUAUUUAUUAGAGGCCCACCACCAUAACAAGUAGUAUCAGAGAGUUUUCAAGAGGAGAAGGUGUCGAUGGCGUUUAACAGCACUAACGGAGUUGCACAAGGAUUCCCGAUAUUUAAAGGGGACAACUAUGAUUUUUGGUGCGUGAAGAUGCGGAUGUUGCUGCGAUCCCAAGAUUUAUGGGAUUUUGUAGAAAAAGGAUGCAAGGAAAUAACCGGAGAGAAUCUGAAAAAACCUGCAGAGGCGCUUUUCUUUAUUCGGCAAUCAAUUGACGACUCGAUAUUUACCCACAUUGCCGGUGCUACUCGAUCGAAGGAAGCAUAAGAUAUAUUACAGAAGGAAUAUCACCAAGGUAACAAAAAGGUACUCGGAGUUAAGAUUCAAAUUUUAAAAAGAAGAUUUGAAACUUCUUUUAUGCAAGAAAAUAAAAAUAUUCAUACUUUUAAUCUAAAGUUAUGGAAUUAGUUACCUUGAUGCGUACCUAUGGUGAACAAAUUACUGAUCAAAUAGUAGUCAAAAAAAUUUUAAGAAGUCUAACAAAAAAAAUAUGGUGAUAUAGUUUCUGCUAUAGAAGAGUAAAAGAUUUAUCUAAAUUAUCUUGUAGCGAACUUCUUGGUUCUCUUUUAGCACAUGAGGAGCGAAAUGAUAGAACUGAAAAUUUUUCUGAGUAUGCCUUUCAAAGUGAAUCGAAAGGCAAUAAAAAAGAUAGUGCAGAUUCUUCUAAUUGUCAAGCUUCAGCAUAUGGUGCCCAUGGUAGAGGCUGUGGUCGUGGCCAAGGUAGAGGCUGCGGAGGUAGAUCGGGUGAUUUUGACAAUAGAAACGAUCACUACAACAAAAUUAAGUUUUAGCGGCGAUUAUUUUUUAAAUUAGCGGCAAUUACAAUUGCCGCUAAAAUAUUUUGUGGCAAUUUUAACAAUUUCCGCUAUUGGUAGCGUCGUUAAAAGUUUUAGCGGCAUUUAUUCCGACAGUCGGUAAAAAUCCAAAUAAAUGCCGCUAAAUAUUAUACAAUAACAACUAUUAUAAAUGCCGCUAAAUAGUAUGUAAUAACAACUAUUAUAAAUGCCGCUAAAUAAUAUACAAUAACAACUAUUAUAAAUGCCGCUAUAAUUAAUUAUAAUUGCCGCAAAAAACAUACUAAAUGAUUGGUAAAUAAAGCUUAUAGCGGCAAUUACAAUUAAUAUUAAAAUACUUGAUUAACAACUAAAUACUACAAUGAAUUGAAAUAUUAAAAAAUAUUAGUAACCAAAAAACAUUAAUAAUUUGUAUAACAAAUAGUCUCAACUCUCAAAUUAUAAUUUCAGUAUUCAAAUUAAAUUUCGAAUAUAAGUUCUAACAAAAAAUACUUAUUCAAAAUUAAAUUUCGAUCAUAAGUUCAAAUUAAAUUUCGAACUCUUGCUUCCCACUUCAAUUUCCGCAGCUCCAGCUGUUUUGGAUCAACCUAAAAGAAGUCAUAAAAUCAGUGUCCGAAAUUACCAAAUAAAAAUCAUCAUAUCAAAUUUCUGAAAAAUAUGAAAGUUAGGUUGUACUGAUUUGGUCUAGCUUUUCUUUUUAUUUUGUAACAAUAGCACUCAAAUUAAGUAGACAAGCACAUCUGAAAAUGAACAUGAGAACAAUGAAAAAGAUUUCAGAUAGUGAAUAGAAGAUCAGAAUCCAACUAUUAUUUAAUAGAUCUCAGAAAAUUCAGAUUAGAACAAAUACACAUUGACAGACCAACAAGCAAUUUGCGCGAAUAUCAGACCGAUGUUAUUUGACAGUCUUAAAUGAGUUUGAAGUUGAAAUUGUACAACCUUACAGAACUAUAUUACCUGGCUUAAACAAACAUUCUCGACUGACGUAACAUAGUAUCCACCAAAGAUUUAUUAAGUAUGAGGUUCAACAAAUUCUAAUUGCAAAAAAGAUGAUAUACAGAACAAUAAGUAAAAACAAGUAACUUAACUUUUGCUUGCAAAUGCACUUGAUUUUGUCUCUUACAAAGAGGUUGGUCAAUGUUGUCAGGUAAAUUUCGUAUGCAGUGUAAGAAGAGGCUACAAAGCAUUAGUUGGAUUGGAGUGGAGAUAGAUGGAACUGGAGCACUUUAUGAGGAAAAUUUACAACUUACCCCUCGACUUGAUGACUUGUUGAUUAGUUUCUAGGACAUAUAACUACCUCUAUAUAAUGAAACUAAUCAACUAGUCAUCAAAUGGUUCUAUAAAUGGCUAAAAUUUAGCAAACAAACGCUGUGCCGACCUCCUAUCCAAAGAGGUUUUGAGUAAUGGGAAGGCAUGCAAUGGAAAAAAAAAGAAUCAGCAAUUUGGCAAUUUGAAAAACAACCUGAGUGGUUAUUUACUUUGAUACUCAAGGAUUAGAUCAUUAGUAGGAAGAAGUAAAUCAAAAGUGGAAGACUCAAGUUUCAAAUUAGGAAGCACUACCCGGACUGUUUCAGAAAACAUGUAAAGAAGUCAAUAUAAUAAGUAUCCUAUGGCAAACUUGUUCUGUUAGGACAAUAAGAGUAAACAAAACUAACCUGUAAAAUAUAUGAAAUACAUUCAUUCUUUUUAAGCAUUAAAAAACCAUAUAAAAAAGUACAUGCUUAAGAAAACUGUCUAAAGCAAAAUCAGUUUGCAGUGCGAUAUAUUUGAUGACAAUGCGGUAACUAAACUACAGUAGUACCUAAAAACCUUGACAAGAAAUAUUAGUCCAUGGAUAAUCAGCUACUUGCACACCUUCAACAGAAAAAUAAUAACCAUAUCCCUGGAUUAGAUUCAAGGUUCAAAGAUUAUUAAAAUAGUUUAUCUUCGCAACAAAAGAAAGAAAGCAAGAAACACUAGGUUCAUUCUAGAUCCAGGAAUACUGGUCAUUAAUACCUUAAACUAUCAGAUCAUAGAGGUAUAUUUUAAUUGUCUACAAAUAGGUUAUAUUGUGGAGUCAUAUCAUGUGUUUCGCUCAACAAUAUUAAGAAAUCUUAAGUAGAAGGAAUCCAAACUACAGACAAAUAAUAAUUCUCAUAUGUGGUUCAUUGAGUUUUUCUCCUCAGGACAUUCUCGGAUGUCUGCAUUAAUCCUCAAGCAUCUUUGUUGAUGUAACCAGUUAAUUUAAAGUGCCAGUUGUGUUGUGUCCUUGCAAAGAUAUCGAGAAACAGAAAACCUCCAUAUCCAGUGGAUUAAUCGCUUCCCAUUCCUUCUCAACCAAUCAUUAACCAUAACUUCUUGUGGUUUCAAACAGCAAGCCAUUCUCUACAUGCAAAUUGUAGUGGUUCAUUUAUACAAUUACUUAAAGGGACCUUAGAGUAUUGAGCAAUUUUCAGAUCAUGACAAACUAAUAAUGAGAGAAAGGAGGAGAUUAUUACCUACCCUCAUCUAUUUAGAUAAUAUGAGAUUGAUAUGUCUUUAUUACAAGAAAUCAUUCUAAAGCUUUAGUCAAAUGAAAAGUUGUACUCGUUCAUGUUAAACAGUUCAAACAGGAACCACAACUAAGAGACGAUAACAGAAACCACAACUAACAGACGAUAACAAUCCAUCUAGUUGCACAAUAGUUUCAUCUUUUCUUAUGCAAACUAAAAGAUAUCGGUAAGACAGAAGUGAAAGAGAAGCGACGGUCUCCAAGAUAAUUACCUUAACGAGUAAUUUGUACAUCCAUAUCGUGAUAAGAACUAGAAGCAUCAGAAACCUGUUUCAUGAACAUUAUGAGAAUAAAAAAUAACUAGUUAUGAUAACAAGAAAUUAAUAUUAAUGAUUUAAAGUAAUUUGCUUCAAAUAUUACCAAUCAUACUAUGCCAAAUAAGUAAUUUAGUAGUUCAAAAAUGACCUAAAAGUAUAUAAAAAUAUUAAAAAGAAGAAGGAACAAAAAAAUUUCAAAUAGUAAAACUCUUUUACCUUUCCUUGGGAUCGAGAACAACAAGAUACCGAAUCUUCGGAAAAUCUUCUACUUAUGAUCGACCUCAUCAUUGCAACUUCAGCCUCUAAAUGUGCUUGAUUUUUUUUUAUAAUUUUCAUCUCCUUCACACGAUGUUGCUCCAUCAGUUUAAUUUCUUUCUCCAGUUCUUUUAUUUGCUCAAAAUCCUUUGAAGAUGAUUGAUAUAUGGAACCGGGAGACCAUAAGCUAGUUGGCAUCAGACCUAGUCCCAAUCCACGCACUUGUCCAUGUCUCUCCUCUCCAAUUACUUGAGAGUAUAUAUCACCUUCCCAAGCGACGUGUCCUUGAUCAUUGUGUUCAGUGGAGUUUGGAAGCUUUUCAAUCUUCUCCAUUAUCAAAUUCUGCACACCAUAAUGUAGAAAUCCUUAGCAUAUGGUUAAUAAAUUAAUAACGACUCUAGAGUUACAACUUCAAAAGAAAUUUGGAACAAUCAACCUAUAGCAAACUGAACGAGCAGCUGAAAUUGAAAUUUCAUACAUUCAGCAUGUCAAGAAGAGUAUGGAAUAAAGAUUCACAUUAACGGCUUGUUUGGUUCACCUAUUUAAACUAUGGAAUCAAGAUGAAAAUCAUUGAUUCCGAUAGUUGUCGUUUGUUUCACAAGAAUCAAGAGUAUGAUCAUAUGACUACCAUAGUCUAGUUACAACACAGAAAAGCAACAAAAGCUAACUAGACUCGCUUUUACCAAACAACAAAAUAGCUUCAGUUUUCUAUCAAGCUUAUAUACACUUGCUACAAAAUGAUCUCAUAUUAUUCCUACUCCAAUUGUCGAAAUAGAAACAGAAUGAUAAAUUUUGUGCAUGUUAAUAAAUGAAUGAGACAUAACUAUAGUGCCUUAUCUCCAAUCGUUUAUCUCUUUUUCAACCCAAUUUUAUGCAGCACAAAAGCAAGCCCUUAGUCAAGCAAAGGUGCAGUGAGUAGAAAACAAUGACCAAUCACGGAUUCUAAGUUGGAUUAAGUGAUGAAAUAAUUUAGCUCUAGGUGAAUAAGAGAUUUCAGAAUAUGCAAACCACAAAAUAAGCAGAAAACAUUCUAAGCAGAAACAAGCAAACCAUAUUAGCAAACAAUUUUCUGCAAUUAUAGAGCUCCAUCUUAUUCGUGGUUUUACUCUUUGUCGAUUUCCGUCUUGGAUAGUAUCAAGCAGUUGACUAACUUUUGAGACUUGUAACUUUUUUUUUUUCCAUUCAUUCUUUAUAACUUUGUCCUUUCAUUCUGAGAGGUGACUGGCUAGAAACCUAGUUGCCACAUUAUAUACUUGCAUAUUGGAAGAUGAUAUGGCUGUGCUUGGCAUGUGAGAAUGAGAAUUCCUAAAGAUCAGUAGCUUGAACCCAGCAUCUAGACCUUCAAGGCCCUUACAUUAUGAUUUUUGAGCUAUACAAUCAUGUCAGAACCUGUGAAUCCUUGGGAAUACCAUUAAUAAAUUGGGGUUAUGCAUUUUAUAGCAUGUUGCUAUAUUAUUGUUUAAUCAAGGUUCUAAAAUUUGUUAGCUAGUUGGGUCUUACACUAUCAGACAUUAUUAUGUGUUAUGUAUAAUGUGAUUAUAAUGAAAUUGCUAUGCUCCUAUUCUAUCGUAAUUUUAUACAUUGGCUCAUGUUGUUCACUUCAUAAGAAAUUUGUAGGCUCUGCUCAAUUUGGAAACUAGACUAAAUAGUACACUACCAUGAUUAUAUAUUGUCAUCUGAAUCAAUGAGCAUCCAAUCACCAACUCACAGUUCUCAUUCGGUGAAAUAUCGUUGUUUCUUAUGCAAAAGAAAAGGUAUAUAAAUAGAAAGUGAUCUACAUUUGAAUUCUAAGUUUUGUAUAGCAUCAUAAUCAUGUGGGAAGUAAAUAAAAAUGAUAAUACUGUUAAAUAAAAUGAUGAAAUUUUUAGCACAACUUCAAAAGACAUUUAAUUAAUUAAAAAAAAACUUACAACUUUUCCAAGUGACUCAUUGUCAAUUGGCCUUCCAUCUUUACGCGGCUUAUGAGUUUCUAUGAAUAUGUGUGCCCGUGAUGGUUCCGCUCCAUCUUUAAUCUAAAUAUUAAUAUAAAUCACAAAAUAAUUUUAGAAUAUUUAAUAUUUUUCAAUCAGAAAAAGUAAAAUAUGAUACCUUCUCAGCCGUCAACCGUGCGAAGCUCUUGGAUCCUGCCGUUUGAGACAUCUUUUGUUUUCCACGAUUUUCUCGAUUCUUUUUGCUACGUUUCUAAUAUUAUAGAAAAGGGUUAUGAAAAAGUGAUAUCAAUUUCAAUGAGAAAGGACUUAAGUUUCUUAUACCUUUACUUUUUCUGAAUUCCAGAAAGAAACAAGAGUAGUCCAUUGAUCCCUUGGUACCCGCUCCAGUCUAUUUUCUAAUAGAUCGUCAACAUUCUUGUAUUUGAGAUAGUACUCUGAUUUUAGGUGACAUUUAUAACCCUUCCAUUUUUUCCCCAAUGAUCUUAAAACCCACUUUUCACCACGAGUAGGGAUUGAAAACUUCGACUAGAAGAACCAAAAAUAUAAUAUUAGUAAUUUUAAUUUAAUAUUCGAAAUAAAUGUCAUUUACUUUUUAAUUUUCUUACCUUUACUAACUUAAGUAUGUUUUUCUUCUCCUUCAUUGGAAAUGCACGCAUGGAAUAUGUAAUGGCGUUAGAUUGGCAUUUCGUGCAACAAUGCCUAGGAAACGAGCAAGUACACGCCCUUCAUUUCCACUAGCCUGCCAUCACUUGUUGAAAUCAACAACUAGCCUUUCCUCUUCAGAUAAAUUUCAAAUUUCAGUCAGUAGAGUGGGUCCCCUAACCCUCCAUUGAUCUAAAAAUAAUUUUAAAACAAAAAAAUAGACAUUAAAAUUGACACGAGCUAAUCCGAAUAAAUGAUAUAACUUCAUUACUCUUUAAGAUUUAAAUUUACCUGCUUGUUUGGUUUCCUCUUCUUGCAGUUCACUAAUCGUUUUCCGAAUAGAAUUUGUAGGUUGAUCCACAGUUUGAGAAUCCACAUCCAUUUGCAAUUGGUCUUGAUUCUGGGGAUGAAUUUUUAUCUUACGAAUUUCUUUUGAUUUCGCCAUAGGGAUCUACAAUAACAUCAUGAAUGGAGUGCUUCAGAAUAUACUUUAUCAUCCAUAAAAAUCUAUAAGAAAAUAUCUACUGUGUACUAUCCUAACAAAAACUAGAUUUAAAGAAAUAUACAACACUUCUGAGUGAAAGAAAGAGCUUACAAUGACAGAAAAGAUGAACUAUAGGUAUAUGAAACUAACCUAACAAAUUAUAUGCUGCUAGUGUAGCUCCCUGUAUCUUAAUUUCAAAAUGGAGGCUUCAAGGGCUACAAUUACAGCAAUGAUUGUGCUGCCAGCUGCUAGUGCAGCUGCAAUUUGCUUGCUGCCAGCCAACAGAGAGAGACAGAGAGAGAGCCAGCAGGGAAAUGGAUUAAAAAGCUGAAAUUUCAGCACAAGAAUGUAUAAGUUGGAAGACUCAAGUUACCAAAAAUUCAUCUUCUACUAACCUUCCAAAAGUUCAACAAGUUCACUGGGUUGUCUACCAAGUUCACUGGGUUGUACUUAUUAACCAAGCUGGCUCACUACUUGAUCCUGAAGCUUCAGUGAGCAUGUGCUGUGGCUAUCCUGAUUUCCUGCCCAAAUAAAGAACAACACCAACAAAUGAAAUGAGAACUCAAAAUAUUGUCGCAUAGGUUGCUGCAUCACUGUAGCAAGCCCAAGAUCUCCAAUUUUAACUUCUCCAUGAUUUCCAUUAAUAAAAAUAUUGUAGCAUUUCAAAUCUCUAUGAAGUAUAGGAGGAUUAUAUAUAUAUAUAAGAUUUUCUGAUCACUUGGUACUUGUUUGGGAGUAUGAGGAAUUAGUGUGAUCCAGGACAGUACCUGCAAGACUUUGUCUUUUUGAAUUCAACUUUGCCUUGUUUUGUUUUCUCUGCAAUAUUUUUCCUUUCCUUGCUCUACUAGGAGAUGCUUCAGGAACUGCCUGGAGAACCUGCACCUACAAAACCGGAUUACAUAAAUAGAAAUGAUAGUUAUUCUCUCUACGAGAUGCUUCUUAAAUCUUUACGCAGCAAAAGCAAAAAGCAGACUGCCCAUCUAAUGAAGUUGCAAAAUGAACUAAUCAUCUAGUAUAAUAAGCUCAGACAGAGCUACAAUUUGAACAUCAGCAUUUUCAGAGGCCUGCUGCAAACAACAAAUCAACUAAAAGUAUCUCUCUAUUCAUUACAGAUUAAGGUAUCAAUAUAGAAGAAUGAGACAGAUUAAAUCAAGAGUGAUUUGCCAUGCAUAAACUGACUCACUGAUUGACAGAAUUGCAAAAUAAAUAUUCUUUAUAGGUGUCGAAUUAGCAAAUGCACUGAUCAAAUCAUCUCAAGCUCGAUGUAACAACUUCCGGUUGUUACUCUGUAUAAAAGCACGCAAAGAAAAGCCAAGAAGCAAAUUAUACAUCUUUAAGCUGACGCAACCAAAGAAUGAUUCUUUCAAUAUUAAUAAGUUCAGAUGUAGUUAUUAGUUUGCUAUGUCCAUGCAAAGAAUGGUGAAGACACAGCUAGAGGAAAAUAGUAGCCAGCACAUCGAUCGAACAUGCCCACAUUCACAAAUAAUAAUAAUGCACUAGACAAUAAUAAAAAUAGUGGAAACCAUUAAUUACUUUCUUCUAUAACAUGAUUACAAUCAGUCCCUAACACCAAUCAGUACAAAAAGGAUGCCAUUAAACUGCAGAAAGUGUAAAUCUAAUGGUUUGGUUAUGACUCAAAUGGACAAAUGAUUCGAAGAUGCAUAUAUGAAGCACUAGAGGAAAUAGAAUCACAUAAACAAUUGCCUUUACACAAUGUCCUGCCAACCAUUCGACAGCCAAAAAUAACAUUAAAAAAAAAAUAGGUAUCUAAACGACAAGUUCUCAUGCUUUAAAUUAAUAUCCCCUCGAUAUCCUUUCUGACCCAAGUAAGAUCAUCAUUUUCUUGCUGAAAAUUGUCUACCAAAUCAACCAAAAUGUGAGAAUCUAUUUCCAUCAUCCUCUCUACAUCAUCUUGGGAAGACAUCUCUCCCAUAACAAAUGUGUCACGCCCCGCCCUGAAACCACUACCAAUUUGGCACGGUUCGGGCGCGCCGGACGGACCGCCGAACGGACAGCACCUCCCCUAUCCGCCCAAGGCUCAACAACAGAUUGAGUACAAGAAUUUACCCAGGAGUUUAAAUUCUAAAGGUACACAAUCAACAGGGCACAAACAGUGCCAACAACAACAAGAGCAAGUAAUCCACUAGAUAUACAAGUGAAAUAAAGAGAGUACUUUACUAACUAUUACAAUAGUUUGCUUUCUUUUACAUUUACAUCUUUUCUCAAAAUGAAUACAUUUGAUCAUUCAAAAUACAUAGCUCUCCAAAUCCUCACCUACAUGAAUCUCUCUCAGUACAUAGAUGUGCUAAUACAAAAAGGAAAACCACUAUACUAGCUACCACGGUCUCACUGCUCGGGCGCGAUGCCGUUGUCGUGGUCCUCUCUCGGCAACCCUGUAACUACUACUGCAAAUAGAGUAGGGGUGAGCACUAUCUUCCAUAGUUCCCAGUGGGCUCGGCCGCCGACUCCGCCGAUCUCUCCACUAGGUCCAAGUGGGCACAAGUAACAACAAGAUAGAUAUAUAGAUGGAUAUCUCAAAGCUGUAAAUGACAUAAUAGGAAAUCUAUACUACUAUGCCCAUAAUCAUGUGUAACGAAUGCAUGCAUCAUAUAGUAAAGGUAUACUAUCAUGCUAACGAGAUCGAUCUAUGAUCGAUAAAUAAUAUUCAAUGACAACAUUAACUUUACAUUUACCGAAUCUGUGGCGAGACCCUUGGGUUUGCCCUCAACUCACCUUUCCAUCCCAAUUGGGUAGGGGAGCUCCAUGUGCCCCCAAACUCGGGACUGUCUGUGGACCUCCAUGUGGUCCCUAUCGUCCGACACUCCGAAGUACUCGACGACCAAUCCUCUCCAUGUGAGGAUAUGGAUGGUUUUACCACCCCAAAUAACAGACGGUGAGCUUGAUCUAUCCUCUCCACGUGAGGAUACCCUACGAACUAGGGCCAACAUUUCUCUCGGAACUCACCUAUUCCGACUUUCAUGCAUAGUUACUUAGCUUUACUAAGUUCAUUGUUCACGAGUCAUUUUCUAGGGAAUCCACCUAUCCCUAAGUUCAUGAACCUCUAGUGUCAAAUACACUACAUAAUGCUACUCGUUCUGUUCUUUAAACAUUUAGAUGCCACUCUCUAUGUCACUAAAUAAUCAUCGAAUUCAUCUUUUUCCUUUAGCACUAUAGGAUCCAUGUUCUAACCCAAUCCUUACCUAUCCAUUCACCAAGUAUUCCAUGUACACUAGGUUAACAUUUAGAAGCAUAAGGAAAAGGUACUACAAUGCAAUCCUAUAAUGCAACAUGCAAGAGAUGAGAUUAUAUGUUAUUCUAAGACAUAAUAAAGAGUUCGGUUGCUUCGGGAUGACACCCCCCACCUUUUGAGGGUAUGAAGGUUCUAGAAUUGUGUCUCGCCGAACGUUACGACGAUGUCUCGGCCUCCUUGGUCCAAGACGGUGCUCAAUCGGCCUUAUUUUGUCGAUAGCUUUUCUCCCGCUCGACGAAUCGAAAUUCCGACUUCACCCUCGCGUUUAGACACCUAACAAUUAGGUUUACAAGGCCUCAAAUGAGAUCAAUCUCAUACUUUACCAAAAAUCCCAUUUUGGGUGCCCUAGGGUUCCAUCUUGCCAUUUGCACCAUGAACCCUAGCCUCUAGCUCUAAUCCACUAUUAAUGGUGCUAGAGGUCCAUUUGACCUCAUUUCAAAAGCUCAAAACCCAAAAACCCUAGAUUCUAUAUGUUAGGGCUCAAGAGCUUACCUCUAGGUUAGCUCCAAAGGAAGAGGAGAAGGAGAUGUCCAAAGCCUUCUCUUUGAUCUCCUUCUUCUUCUUCUUCUCCUUUCCUUCCUUCCUUAUUCUUCUUCUACUCCUUCUUCUAUGCUCAAGAGAGGGAGAGAGAGAAAGAGCUUAGAGAGAGAGAGUGAGAGGUGUUAGGGAAUAGAUGAGAGAAAGUGUCACGCCCCGCGACCACCCGCCAAUUUGGUCGGGUCGCGGCGCCGCCGACAGAUCGCCGAACGGACAGGGUUUCCCCUGUACUGCGGACAGAGUCUCCCCUGUACGUUCAAGGCAUAGCAAUCAAUACAAGUACAAUGAGUUCCAACCAGGAACAGUAUUCAAGCAAGAUUGCAGAAGAAAGAUAUCAACAACAUAACACAUCCUAUGUUAUUACAUUUAUUCACAUUCAGCCAUUUUUACAUCACAAAUCUCAUUAGAUUCCAACAUUAGCUUUCACUUAACUUCCAAAUACAAUCCAAUUUAACAAUAUUAUUACAACUUGAUUCUUUUCGUUCUUUACAUCCCUAAGUAAGGCCGACUCAGGGUACUGCUAUCUCUGGUCUCGAUGGUAGGGCGCUAACUAUGGAGCUACGCCCUCGCCUUGCGCCGCCGCGCCGCUCACGUGUGAACCUGUAACACCCCAAAACCACGUGGGGUGAGAACCAACUCCAUGGUUCCCAGUGGGUACGGCCACCCAAGGGAAGAGCUCGACCAAUAGGUCCAAGGGAGGCAACUGCAAGUUAGUUCAAUAAACAGAUAGAUAUAUAUAUCUUGAUUAUGCAACGAAUAAAACCAUGCAUUGCCUCACGAAUACAAUAAUGCAAUGCUAUAUGCAAAUCAUGCAAUAAUGCAACUAUACAGCCAACUAGUAGUUCAUUUGACACUACUUUCAAUUCUGCUAACCAUAACUCAUCCAUUCGAUAUCUAAGGUUUCCUCUAGUUUAGAUUCUGUCAAUCACCGUUUUAAUCAUAAAGUUUCAUCUACCUUUACAAGGCUAACCACCCGACUCGUCUUGAGUCAAUCGUCUGCGGAGUACCGCACUAGAACCAGGCUCGAGCGAUGGACGUCUCACAUACACCUCAGCCCUAAAUCCUCUCGACUAGGAUACCAAAUCCAUAACUCAUAAUGUAUACUUGUUGUACACUCACUUGGCUAUGACCAAUCUUACCGGUUAACCAUGUUACCCCAAUAACUCACUACCAAAAUCCCUUAAUAACGGGGGACUCGAACCUCCCUGGGGACCGUCAUCUGGGGGACUUUACCACGCCCAGUGGUGACCAACUCCGGAGCGACCGCCGAGGGGAGCUACUCCCUCAAGCCAAGACGUAACGUAAGUAUCGAUCCAAUCCUCAACUUGGAUUCAUAGCCACUCGUCACAAUGCCAAUGUCAUGAUAGUCUCUACCUAUUUAAUCAUGCCACCUCUAUGUCAACUUGGACCAAUGUCAAUAUGGUUAAACUAUGUUUAACAAUCACUUUCUUGAUGCAAUCAUGUCUCUAUUAUCAUUGUCACCCUUGUUUACUAAUGUUCAAGUUCAACUCUCACAUUUACACAAUAAUUAGGUCCUAACAUACAUGAAUGACACCAGAAUAUAUAUGAUCAAUCACCACAAGUGUUUGCUAGGUUCAAGAUGCUAGGUUUAAUGCCACUCGAUCUAAUAUAUAUAAGAUUGUCCACUAUGGUCCACAACAUGGCAAUACGUCAUCAAGUAUGUCUUUCUAUUUAACAUAAUCCACAAUAUGUAAAUUCAUAAUAUAUCAUCAUGCACAUAUACCACUAGCAUCACAUGAUUUGUCAACAUACAUAUAGUCAUUAUCCAAAAUAGUCCAUACUUAGCCUCUCAUGCAUUCUUUUAGCACUUAAUUCAUUAUGCAUUACAUUUAGCAUAUUCUACAACAUGUAAUCUACAUUCCUUUUAUGAUGUUCUUAUAAUGCUAACAUUCAUACGCCCUUUAUAUAUGCAUUCAAAAGCAUUAAUCAUAUGCAUUUAUCUAGCAUUUCUAUAGUAUGUUAACAUGCAUUCUUUCACAUUCUUAUAUUAUGUCAAUAUGCAUCAAUAUGAAAUCUCAUUUCUUAGACAUAAAGGCGACCUAGUCGCUUCGUAAGCACAACCCACCUCAUUUCGCAUUCUGAUUGCUUGUCGACACUUGCAAUCGGCCGCCCGCGGCACCCGGCAUCCGGUUUGGCCGACUCUUCACACGACACCGAAGGCCUCCAAUUCACGAUCCGAAAAUUAAAGGUCUUCGGUUAUGUGCCACGAUGCUUCAAAUCCGUUUUCAUGAUUUUACGAUAUCGCCUCGGCCCUCCAGGCGAAAACGAAGCCUAAACAUCCGUUUCUUUAAUAACUUCGCAACGGCUCGACAAAUCGCCGAACCGUCUUCGCCAACGCGUUUCGUUACCUAGCAAUUAGGUUUACGAAGGGUCAAAUGAGAUCAAACCCUCAUAUUUUGAAAGUUUGCAUUUUGGAGCCCUAGGUUACAACUAUGCAAGAAAUCACUAAAUUGAUCCAUGAUUCAAGCAUUAAUUAUCUAGAUAGUAUGCUAGGACUCUUCUAAAUCCAUUUAUAAGGUAUUUAAACCAAGCAUUAAAGAUCUACCAUUAAAGCCCUCAUUUUGCAGCUCUAGGUUUCACUAGGUAAAAAACCCACCAUUAGAACCUUGAUUUCAAGCAUCAAACCUCUAAUUAGCAUGCUAGAAUACCUCUAAACCCAUUCUUAGAGCUUAAAAACCAAACUAGAGAGAAAUGCCAUUAAAGGGUUUUGAAGCUUACCUUGAAAGCUUGCUCUAAUGGAGAAGAAGAUGAUAAAAGAGAUCGUCGCCUCCAAUGCGUUCGCAAGCUUACUUCUCCACCAACCCUCCAAUUUUUAUCGAGAAUUUUAGAGAGAUGAGAGAGAUCUCUAGAGAGAGAAGGGAGGGUUCUCUUCCUCCCUCUCCUUGCGUGUGUGUGUGUGUGUCGUGUGUGGUGUGUGUGCGGCUGAAGGAGAAGAAGAGGAGUCAAGAGUCUUCUUUAGUCAUACCCCUCAAACACUAUUCACUCCCGGCAGCUUAAAAUCUGAUAUCUUUCGCCGGAACUCCCUGAAUGUCCGUUUGAGCUCAAACUUGACAGUCAUGUUCGGUUUUACUUAACUUAACAAGCUGACGAUCGCUGGUUCAGUUUCGACCCCGUUUGGUCACUGAAAACUGUACCGAACUGUAAUCUUUAUCAGAUAACUGUCGGAUUUUAUUCUCACUCUACGGGUGUCAGAAAAAUAUGAAACCUUAAAUCUAGCCUCAUAAAAAUAUUUCUGACUUAUCCUCCAAUUUUCAUAAUUUUCUGAGACUGUGCAUUUUCUGCUAAUUUAUCUGUCCCGUUUCUAACAGAAAAUUCUAGAUCUUCUGUUUUCAUUCCGAUUUCAGCACAAGUCACUUCUGACUUAUGUUUUACUUCUAUAAAUCCAAUAAAAAUAGUUUCUCACACUAUUUUUAUUUAUUUUUAUUUUUAUACCAAAAUCUGGUAUGUUACAGAAAGAGAGAGAGUUUUUCUCUCUAAUACUCUACAUCUAAUGUAACAAAUGCAGCAAAGCCCCUCAACUUUACUUCUCUCAACUUACUCUACCUGUAACAUACCACAUCCCUCGUAAGUCAUGCCGAGUUCCGUCAAAACGAGCGGAACGCGGAAUUGAAUGAGUUACAGUGGACCCUAAGUGCGUUGGAGUUCAUAAAUGGAGCAAAAAGGGACCCGGAGAGCAAAUCUGGAAAAUCGGGCUAAGUCCCAGAUUUUGAGCUCUCGGGGACCAGUCCCUGAAGGAGAGACCGGUCCCCGUACGCGUAGCCUGCCAGGAAAUCCUGAGGCAUCCGGUCCCUGGUGGUGAGACCGGUCCUCGGGAGACCGGUCCCUGACGGGCAGACCGGUCCCUCGCUGCGCAACAGCCGAAAAACUCGAAAAUUUGGCUAAGUCAUGGAAGACCCCCGUUCGGGAACCGGUCCCUGGUCGGGGAGACCGGUCCCCGAAGGCGAAAAUUGCCCAGUCUGGGCAGAUUGAUGGGAAACAAGUUGAGGGGUCUAAAGGCAAUUGUUACAACACUAUAUAUGGUCCAACCCCUCUCUCCCACAGCCAUUUCUCUCAUCCUCUCUCAUUUUCUCUCUUUCUCUCUCUAGAACUCCUCUAGAACUUGGAGAAGAAGAAGAAGAGCUUGGAGAAGAAGGUGGAUUUGGAGGCUUUGGAGGUUCUAGGAGCUCUCCAACAAGAAGAAUCUUGGUGAGGCUUGGACUAGAGGUAAGUUUUGUAAUGUUUUCCUCUAGGGUUUGGAUUUUGGUUAAGAGAUUUGGAGCUUUGUGCUCUUUAGAGGUUUAAGAAGCUCUUUUGAGCCAUGAACACCAUGGAACCCAUGAGAGCUCAAGGUGCUCUCAUGGUGAAUCCUUGGAGAUGAUGUUUGGAGCCCUAGGGUUGGUACCAAAGGUUUAGAAACCUUGUUAGGAUGCUUCUUAGAUGAUCCUAAGCUAUUCUUUGCUUGGGGUUGGGAUCGAUUCAUGGGAAAACCCUAAAUGGCAAGAUUAGGGCUUAAAUUUGGGGAUUUUGCCCUAGGAUUUUUCGGGGACGAAUUGACCCCGUAGAAACCUAAUUGGGGGUGCCCAAAACACGUCGGACCACUUCGUUUAAUAUUUCGAAAAUGUUAGAGUAUAGUUCAUGUACAAAAAGGCCUAAUAUGGCACUAUUUGAUUAUAGGGCGCGGAAUCGGCUUUCGUAAAGUGCGGGGGCCUUAAUAUUCUACACCCACACGACUCACAGAGGUGGGGGGUGCACGCCGGAAUCGUUGGAUUCCCCUCUAUGUCUAUUUCUCUAUUUUUGAGCAUAUAUAUAUAUAUAUAUACCCAUUCAUGCAUAGUAGGGUAGCUACAUGUGGAACUUGGUUUGAUUUCAUUUUUAUGCUUCUAAAGUAGUUGAACGUAGAAGAAUGAUAGAACCAAAACGGACAUGUGUGAUUGGACCCUCGAGACGUGUGAACAUAAGAAUGGACUUGGACAAUUAGUAAACAAGGGUGUCAUUGACAUAGAAAUAAGAAUUGCAUUGAGAGAUGACCGUUGGACAUAGUUUGACCCGUAAUGUCCUGGUCGAAGAUAAAGCCUUGAGAAUGGCAAGAAUAAAUAGGUAGAGACCUAUGGUGAUAUUGGCAUUAUGACUAAUGGCUAUGAGUCCUCAAGUUGAGGAUUAGAUCGAUACUCACCUUUCGUCUUGGCUUGAGGGAGGUCGCUCCCCCUCGAGCGGUGCGCUCCGGAGUUGGUCACCACUGGGCGUGGUAAAGUCCCACCAGUUGACGGUCCCUAGGGAGGUUCGAGUCCCCCGUUAUUAAGGGAUUUUGGGUUGUGAGUUAUUGGGGUUAACAGAGUUAACCGGUAAGAUUGGGUAAGAGCCAAAGUUUGAUUAUGAUUGGAGCAUGCAUGCAUUUCCAUUUUCGCAUUGAAAUUGUAUAUCUACUGACUUUUUCUUGCAGGCAUAGUAUUAGUUGCAUUAGUAAUGGUUACUUUUCUUCCUUUGAAAUACUUAUGCCUGGAUAGACCUAGUGGGUAAGUCGGCGAGGUCGGAUGCCGAGCCCACUGGGAACUUCGUUGUAGUUCUCACACCACUAACCCUACAGGUCCUAGCACGAGCGGGGCGGCGGAGGACCGAGGCAAGGGUUUGGCGCCGUAGGUAGCGGCCACCGAGGACUUUAUGCAUUUUGUAGUCAUUCCCUUUUGUUAUACAUGUAUCAACUUUAUUCUGUUGAUUUAGGUAUGUAAAGAGAAAACAAUCAUGUAUUUGGUGGAUGACUAAAUGUAAAAAAAGAUAUGAUGGUUGAAUGGAAUGUAAUAGUUUCACACUAGCUUUGUUUACUUGAAUUUGGUUUAAAUGAAAUCAAAUAUCAUGUGUAAUCUUAUAUUUAGCUUAGAGCUUUCGCUUCCGUUGUUGCUUGCCCUCGUGCAAGCCUUGUAUUAUAUUUGCAAUUCUCUUGUUAAUUGCCUAAAUAUAUGUAUUGUUAGAGCCUUGGGCGGACAGGGGAGGCCCUGUCCGUUCGGCGUCUGUUGACGUGACCCGAACCCGACCAAAUUGGCGGGGACUGGGGCGUGACACUACCAGAGCAGAUUUCGCGUGGAGGGACCGGUCUCUCCUGUAUGGGACCGGUCCCCGAGAGCCUCCCCCGAGUGCACGCGCUCGGGAACUGGUCUCUCCCCGAGAGACCGGUCCUUGGGAGACCGGUCUGUCCACUAGAGACCAGUCAUCGAGAGCUUGUCUCGCAGGACUUAGCCAUUUCUCGCUGAUGUCGCCUGCGGGGACCGGUCCCUCCCUGCCAGGGACCGGUUGCAUCAGCAACCCCGCAACCAUCAGCCGAUAGGACCGGUCUCUCCCUACCAGGGACCGAUCCCUGAGAGUAAAACCAGUCAAAUGCAGAUUUUUGCAUCUUUUGCUCUCGCGAACUCGAUUCGAAAGCCUUUUUUGUGUUUUGGAUAUCUUUAGCCUUCCCGAAGGAUACUCACUCGACAGGUAGUCGAUCCUGGACGAAGUACAAUCCUCGGAUUUCGAGAAUUCACUUCCUUACAAAAUGCCUCCCUAGGUUUCAUUGGCCUAGGUACAAACCAACCAUGGUUUCGGCGAUCUUCAGCAUAUAUCACUUGUUGAGCUUGCGAUGCAAACACAAAUGGUUCAUCACUAAGCAAAUUGCCGGUAUGUAUCAAGUAAGAAAAAUUGAUGAGUUUGAAUCCUAAUGUAUCUUGCUUUACACCUUUGCCAUGAGUCAUAUCAACCCAAUCACUUCUAAACAAAACAACUUUAAAUCCAUCAUAAUAAUCCAACUCUAUAAUGUCUGUUAGUAUGCCAUAAUAGGUGACAUCUCUCAAAAUAGGUCUUGGGUCGCUAGUACUUGCAUAGCUUUGUGUCUUUGCGACAACCAUGACUCCACUAUUCUGAGUGUUAAAGUCCUUCUCAUAUUCUUUAGUUCGAAACCUAUAGCCAUUAUUCACGUCAAAAGCUUGAAACCUUCUUGCGAUGAAAUUUGGGCCACGAGCAAGGCGUCUAAUAUCUUCUGUAAUUCGGUCACUAGUUUCAUUAUCCAAUUCGUUAACCUAAACAUCAAAAGAGGGGAAAAAAAAAAAACUUGUUGGCCCAUAUAGAUGAAUAAUACUUUACAAUUUAAAAUAAUUUUCUAAAAUGUAGAGAAAAUACUUACACGUUCUCGAAACCAUUCAUAGAACUUUUCACUAUGCAAACGAUCUAUGUCGUGUUGUGUCAAGCGACGUCGCCGAUUUAGUCUCUUGAUUACACUCAAGUGUUCACUACAUUGUGCAAAUAAUAUGCGUAAACAACAAUAUAGAAAAAUAUUUUUUAUAUAUAAACAAGUUUUUUUUUCAGUUAUUUACUUACUUUCUGAACGACUCAACAAUUUUAGAAUUGCUAUUAAAGAGAACAUAUCGAUGUGCUUGUGUCCAUAUUUUCUCGUCCAUCAUAAAUGCUUGAAUUUUUCCAUAAGGCAUCCCUACAUUAGGAAAUAUAUUUGAUUCUUGCACCAAGCCAUGUCUAGUAUCUGUACGAUUCCUAAUUGACUGAUUAGACCUUAUCCCAUUAUCUUCCAAAUAUCGUGAACAAAAUACUAAACAUUCUUCUCCAAGAUAUGCUUCUGCAAUUGAGCCUUCUGGGCGUGCUUGAUUGCGUACAUUGGAUUUUAGAGUAAAUAAAAACCUAAAUAGAAAACGAACAUGUUAUAUUCUUCAUUUAUAGAAUAUAUAUCAUAGUGAGUAAACAUAAUAGAUAACUAUUUUACCUUUCGAUUGGAUACAUCCACCGGUAGUGCACUGGCCCAGCUAUUUUAGCUUCGUUUGCUAAAUGAACAACCAAAUGCACCAUAAUUGUAAAGAAUGAUGGUGGAAAGAUCUUCUCCAUAUACAAAGUGUUAGAGCAAUCUUUGUUUCGAGCAACUCAAGCUCAUGAACUUGAAGAGCUUUAGCACAUAGCGCCCGAAAAAAGUUACUAAGUUCAAUCAAAAUGAAACUUACUUUCUCGGAUAAAUUUCCACAUAAUGCAAGAGGGAGAAUGUCACGUCCCGGGACUCGGCAAGGCCCUGCCCGGUGCGUGCCCAGACCCGCCAUAUGCCUGCACAUAUAAGGCGUCUACAACAAAGAGAUAUGAAAGAUAAGAAUAAACAAUAACUAAUGAAAUUAGAGCAAGUACAGCAUCUACUACUACUAACAGCAGAAGCGAAAGAAAAGAACUACUCAACUAAAGUGAAACAUAAAGUGAUAUAGUAACUAUCUCAAGAAGUACACAAAAGGGGUGAUCUCUAUACAUGGGUACAACUCCCAACCUCUUCAAAAUAAAAAUAUCGAGAGGUAGACCACCUAUCAAAAAUCUCUCAUCAAAGCUCGAGAGGUAGACCACCUAUCAAAAAUCUCUCAUCAAAGCUUGCAAGCCCGACGCUAUACCCUUUCCUCGGUCCCUGGCCUCCCCCGGCGCGGAAGGCUCUGAAAUGAAAACACGAAACAGGGGGCGUGAGAACUAUAAUUUAUAGUUCCCAGUGGGCAAUUACUAACCUCAGCGCAAUGCACCACUAGGCCCAAAAUAAGAUAAGCAUAAAAGAGGAAACAAAAGUAAACUACUGAAUUGAAAGCAUGUAAGAAAUGCUAUACUACUAAGCCACAAGUAAACAUGAUGUGUAUCAAUGCUAUCAUGAUUGAAUAUACUAAUGUAAGAUGAACAUGUUCUUCACGGCAACCAAGUAUACUAUGAUGCAACGAGUAAAACUAUCAAGUAUACUGUAUGUCCCAAUGUCUCAAAGCCACUCUAUAAACAUGUCAAGUAACCCAGCUACUAUGAUCUAUCUAGUAGUGAUUCACAUUUUAGGAUUUGGUGACAAAGUUCAAUCUUGCUCUAGGACCUACACGAGGGUAGUCCAGCUUGUGCCGCCUAAGUGUCGGUGGUAGCUCCAGCAUUCCCACUCGCGUGCGGAGCAUAAGUCGCGUAGGCCAACUCCGAAGUGCCGGCUUGUAGGGAGCGACCCUCACAAGCAUGUGCGAAUGAGCAAAAAUGGCAAGCAAGCGAGUCAUCGUCUCAAGUACCCAAUCCUCAUGUCUCUCACAUGGUAAUAGUCACUAAUAACCCAACGGUCUAGUUCUAUGUCUCAAUGUGAUGUCCCAACACUCACAAUGCUUAGUGCCUCUUUAUGGCACUUAAGCCUUGCUAUAAGUUAAGCACAUUUCAUAUUCUAUGCUCCAUUUAUGACAUUAAUACCAGGUUCAUUUAUAGCCCGAGCUCAAUGUCCCUUUAUGGCAUUAGCCCAAUCAUUCUCAAAUAGUACAAGUCCCCAAGUCUCUUUAUGGCUUAUUAAAUUCCCUUGUGUCCACUAGGCAUAGAUUUAAAUGCAUGCAAGUAAUGCUCAUUUUCACUAUAAGAAUCAUGGUCCCAAGUCCCACACAAGAAGGCUAAAUGCAACAUAAGCCCCACAUGCAAACUCUCUACUACAUAGAGGUCCGAAAGUUCAUUACAGAUAACAUAGGAAUGUUAAGUAUUCUAAAAUUCACAAUAAAUAUAUCUAACAUGAAAAUGCAUGAAUUUCCACCGUACGACACAUAAAUCAUCAAAUAUGAGAAUUUCUCAUAUUUUAGGCUAGGUCAAACCCACCGAACUUCCCGUAACCCUUCGUUUGCUCCAACGAAAAUGUCUACUAAGCUCCUAGCGCCCUAGAAGCAUCAAAAAGUAAGCUACAAGAAGUAAACGAACAACUACUAGCUCAAUCAAUAACCAUCUAGGCAUGGAGGGCUAAACUCUCACCUAUAGUGUAGAAAUUCCUCUCCAAAGCUCAAAUGAAAGUUAAACCCCUUCCAAAGCAACCUAAACCAAGAUUCUAAUCCAAUUUGAUUAGCUCCAAAAGCUCCAAAUCAAAAAGCCCCAAAUAAACCCUAGAUUUUCCAUUCUAGGAUUUCAUCUCCCAAAAACCAACAAAACUAGGUCUAGAGGGGAGAAAUGAGCAACUAACCUUCUUAGAAGCUCCUAACCAAGCUCCAAGAGUGAUGAUCUCCUCUCUAGCAAGCUCCAAGUCCAAGCCCUUAAGCAUCAACAAGGUGGAAAGAGAGGGAGAGGGAGAUGUCCAAAGGCCUCCAAACUUGAUCCACUUCCUCUUCUUCUUCUUCUUCUUCUUCUUCUUCUUCUUCUUCUUGAGAGAGAAAGAGAGAAAGAGAUGAGGGAGAGUAAGAGAAAUGAGAGAGGGAGAGAGCCCUGCCGCCUCUACAACACUAAGAGAUGUAACAAAUGCAGAAAAACCCCUCAACUUUGCAAUCUGUGCACUGCCCUGACUGGGUAGUUUUCAGGUAGAGGGACCGGUUUCUCCCCAUAUGGGACCGGUCCCUCAGGACCUUCCUGCAAAACCAACGUUCGGGAACCGGUCUCUCUGGCGAGGGACUAGUUGCCUCAAAGUCUGCCGCAACUGUAUCUACGAGGGACCGGUCUCUCCCACCAAGGACCGGUCCCCGAGAGUGAAACUCUCAGGACUUAGCCAAAAUCUAGAAUUUCGAACUACGGGUCGGAACACCAUCUACGACCCUCCACAAGGUAUGGAAAAGCUCGAAACUCAAACCAAACACUCGAACCUCGCAAUUUGCAUAGGACCAGUGUGUUACAUUCACCCCUCCUAAAAAUGAGUUUCGUCUGCGAAACUCGAAAAGCAAAGUACCUCAAGUCGCCAUGUAACACACUGGACCUCUGCAAAUUGCGAGGUUCGAGUGCUUGGAUGUAUUUCGAGCUUUUUCACACUUGGUGGAGGGUUGUAGAAUGUUUUUUGACCUAAAAAGUUCGAAAACUGGAAUUCUGGACAAGUCCUGAGAGUUUUUACUCUCGGGGACCGAUCCCUGGAAGGAGAGAUCUGUCCCCCAGUGAGCAGUGUUGUGGCAGCCCUGAGGCAACCGGUCCCUAGCGGGCGAGACCGGUCCCCGAGCGCGUCUACGCAGUGAGAGACCGGUCCCGCGCAGGGAGAGACCGGUUCCCGAACGUUGUCUUCUCGGGUUCGCAGCGAGAGACCGGUCCCUGCUGGGAAGAGACCGGUCCCUCUGGGCGAAAACUGCCCAGACCGGGCUGUUGUAAUUUUGGAUUUUUGGGGGACCUAGCUGGAUUUUGUUACAAUAGAGGGUCUAUAUGACCCAUCCACUCUUUUUUCUCCUCAUUUUGUUAAGGAUUUUAUAGGUUGGCGGAUUUUGUAAUGUUGAAUGGAGUCUUGAAUAGUUGAUUGCAGAAGAUUGAAGAAAAGAUCUAAAUUGAAGGAAAAAGACUCACUCGUAAAGUUUGGCACCUAAGGUAUGAAGAAAAGAUCAUUUGUGAUGAAGAUAUUUGAUUAGAAUAAGUUCAGAAGGCUUAGAUUGCUUUAAAAAUACUUUACUGAACUUUUCUGUGUUCAAGGACCGGUCCCUGAGGUCAAGAGACCGGUUCCCCUAAGGUCCUCACUGCGUGAACUUUGAUGCAACCGGUCCCCUGUGAUGAGAGACCGGUUCCCGAACCUUGGUAUUUCUGUCGCGCAGCGAGGGACCGGUCUCAAGCUUGAGAGAUCGGUUCCCGAACGUUGUGAUUUUGGUCACGUAGUGAGGGACCGGUUCCUCACUUGACAGACCGGUCUCUCACAGACCAGUCUCCUUAGUGGAUUUUCUUCGCGUGAUCGGUCCCGUUGGUUUUUCACUCCGAAUUGGAGUUUUCCCACGUUAAAUUCUCGGUGUGCUGUUUUAUUUUCCGCUACUUUGUUUUAUUUGCAUCGAGAUUUUCGAGUUUGCCGUUUUUACACCUAUUCACCCCCCUCUAGGUGUUACUUACCUUUUAGAUCCUCGGGAUCCAUAUCUUACACAUUCUCUUCUCUCAACUCUCUCUACACCGUUGAUGGAGAAGAAGAAGAAGAAGGAGAAGGAGAAGAAGGAAGGAAGAAGAAGAAGUUUGAGUGCUACUAGUGGACUUGGAGCAUCUUCCUCACCCUCUCUUCUUCCUUGGUGCUUGGAGGUUGAACUUGGAGCUUGUCAAAGAGGAGAUCUCACCCUUGGAGCUUGGAUUGGAGCUUCUAAGGAGGUUUGUUGCUCUUUUUCUUCCUCUAGACUUUGAUUUGAAGGUUUUUAGUAGAUGGAACCCUAGAAUGGAAUUGUAGGGUUGAUUUUGGGCAUUUUUGAUCUAGGACUUUUGGGGCUAAAUUAGUUGGUUUAGAACCUUCCUUGGGCUUGGAUUUGAAGGGUUAUAGCUCUCUUUUGGAGCUUUGAAAGAGAUUUCUUCUCUUGAGGUGAGUUUUAGCCCUUUUGUCUUGUUGGUUAAUAUUUGAUCUUGUAGUUGAUCGUAAUGCCCGUGUAUCUCUUCGCUCAAUACUUUUAGGGUAUUUUAAGGCUCGUGGACAACUCCGUUCGGUGAAUCGAAGGAGCACGCGACGGUUCGAUGGGUUUGGCCUAGCCACACAAUGAGAAAUUCUCAUUUGUGAUGAAUUAAGUAUCAUUAAUUGAAAAAGCAUGCAUAUUCUUGUUAUAUGUAUUUACUGUGAAUUUUAGAAUGCUUAAAAUACCUAUGUUGCAUAUAGUAAAAUUUUGGGCCUUUAUGUAGUAGAGAGCAUGCAUGUGUGAUAUAGCAUUCUGGUUGAGACUGAAACUAAGAUCCCUAUUAUGAAAAUAGACUUUGCUUUCAUGCAUUUAGCUUAUUUGCCACUUGUGACAUUAGGGAUUUUUGGAAGUCUAGAGAGGCUUGAGGACUUAGCCUAUUUGAGAGAUUGGGCCAAUGCCAUAGAGAGGUAUUGGGCCCGGGCUAAAGUGAACCUAGCUAGUAUUGUUUUAAUUGGAAUAUGGAAUAUGAAUUGGGCAUGAUUAGUUGUGAUGCUUAAGAGUCAUAAAGAGGCACUGAGCAAGUGUGUGCGUUGGAGCGUCACUUUGAGACUUUGGACUAGAUCCUUGGGAUGCUAGUGGCCUUGCCAUGUGAGAGGCAUGAGAGUAGAGUACUUGAGACUUUGACCUUGCUUGCUUGCCAUUUGUGCUCAUUCGCACAUGCUUGUGAGGGUCGCUCCCUACAAGCCGGCACUCCGGAGUUAGCCUACGCGACUUAUGUUCGCUCGUGCGGUAUUGAGAAGCCUACGGGGUCGAGUGGGACAGACACAUUCCAAGAGUAGGGAUGUUGGGCUACCACAGGCACUUAGGCGGCACAAGCUGGACUACCUUUGGUAGGUCCUUAAUGGGAAAUGGAAAUCGACACGGGGUGAGUUUGUUAUAAUCACUACUAAAUAGAGAGUAGUAGUUGGAUUACUCGGACUUGCUUCUAGUAUAGAUUUGGACUUUGGGUAUACAUACAUACAUGUUGUAUGCUAGGAGACAUUGCUUACUUGCAUUCAUAUAAACAAUGUUGCUAUGAUAAAGAAUAAUCCUCAUAAUUUCAUUAAGCAAACCAUGACAUUAUUUAUGGCUAAGUAGAGACAUAUUCUUCAUGACAAGAUAAUUGUGCAUUACAUAAAUGCCAUGUUUAAUUGCAAGUAAUAUUUUAGCAUUUUCAUUAUGCUUUCAUAAAUGCAAAUUACUCGUUAUUGCUAUUGCUUUUGACUUACCCUUUUCUUUUGGGCCUAGUGGUGCAAUGAGCUGAGGUAAAUAAUUGCCCACUGGGAACUAUAAAUUAUAGUUCUCACGCCCUCUGUUUUAUGCUUUCUUUUAGAGCCUUCCACGCCGGAAGAGGCUAGGGACCGCGGGAAGGGAGUUGCUUCGAGCUAGCUUCCUUCGAGGACGAUUUGAUAGGUGGUCUACCUCUCGUGGUUUUAUUUUGUGAGAGGUUGUGAGUUGUACCGGUUUAUGUAUAGAGACCACCAUUCUUUUGGAUCUUUGUUUUCCUUUUGAGGAGAUAGUAUUGUACUACUUUAUAGCUACUUUUAUUGUUUAGUUAUGUUUCUUUUACUCUGGUUUAGAUGAUAGAACUUUACUCGCUCUGAUAUCAUUAGUUAUCACUAUGCUAUUUGUUCUACUUCUUGCUUUACUUCCGCUUUUGUUGUAGACGCCUUAUAUGUGUAGACAUAUGGCGGGUCUGGGCACGCUACCGGGAGGGCCUUCGCCGGUCCCGGAGCGCGACACGCCAUCUGAAAAAGAUGGGGGUAGCACUCCUGCAGUGCACUCUCUAAUUCCCACGUGGCCUCGCGUUCCUCGUGGUUGCUCCACAGAAUCUUUACAAAGGGGAUUUCACGGUUCCGCAGCCUCUUCACUUUAUGAGCCAAGAUCCUCACAGGCUGCUCCUCAAAACUCAAAUCCUCCCUCAGCUCCAAAGGUGUAGCGUACAAUACAUGAGCUGGAUCGUGGAUGUACUUCCGAAGGACCGAUAGAUGAAAUACAUUAUGUACACCCGAUAGGUUCCGCAGUAGAGCAAGCCAAUACGCUACCGGGCCUACACGCUCCAAAACCUCAUACGGUCCAAUGAAUCGGGAGCUCAACUUACCCCGGAUUCCAAAUCUUCUAAUCCCUCGAGCCGGUGAGACUUUCAAGAACACAUGAUCUCCAAUCUGAAACUCCAAGUCUCGUCGACGCUUAUCAGCAUAACUCUUUUGCCUACUCUGGGCUGUCAACAGUCACCCCCGCACAACACGAACCUUGUCCUCUGCUUCCUGGAGCACAUCGGGGCCUAAAGCCAAUCUCUUGCCAACUUCACUCCAGUGAAGUGGCGAUCUACACUUCCGUCCAUAGAGUGCCUCGAAAGAUGCCAUCUUAAUGCUUGCUUGAUAACUAUUGUUAUAAGCAAACUCCGCCAUCGGUAGAUGCUGCGACCAUCUUCCCCAGAAGUCUAUCACGUAGGCUCGAAGCAUAUCCUCAAGAGUCUGUAUAGUGCGCUCUAACUGUCCGUCACUCUGGGGGUGAAAAGCGGUACUGAAAUCCAAGCGCGUAUCCAAAGCAUCCUGUUGACUCCUCCAGAAAUGAGACACGAAACAGGGAUCUCGAUCUGACACUAUAGAAGUAGGUACCCCAUGCAGUCGCACUAUCUUAUCCAAGUAUACCUGUGCAAGUCUCUUACCAGUCCAAGUGGUGUGGAUAGGUAUGAAAUGUGCCGAUUUCGUUAACCUAUCCACGAUCACCCAAAUAGCAUCGUGCCCGACCUGGGAGCGGGGCAAUCCAAUCAUGAAGUCCAUAGUGAUCUUCCCCCACUUCCACACUGGAAUCGGUAAGCUCUGUAAUUUUCCGCGGGCACUCGGUGCUCAGCCAUAACCUGUUGGCAAGUUAGACAUCUAGCAACAAACUCGCCAACAUCCUUUUUCAUUCCGGGCCACCAAUAUAGCAACUUCAAGUCCUUGUACAUCUUGGUGCCUCCCGGAUGUAUAGCAUAGGGUACUCGGUGUGCUUCUUGAAGAAUUUCUUCUCGAAGUGCCGAUUCCACCGGUACACAAACCCAUCCGCGGAAACGUGUCAACCCUACACCGUCCUCAGUGAAGUUACCGGUGCAACCAUCUACCAUCUUAGCUCUAAUCUUUUGCAACUCCACAUCGUGAGCUUGCUUUUCAUUGAUCCUUUCCAAAAGUAUAGGUUGCACGGCCAAAGCCAUCAGUCUCAAAGGUGUAUCAAGAGCCACUCCUCCAACUCCAACCGCCUCAUCUGCUCAAUCAACGGCGGCUGAGUAGCAACAAACAUCACUAAGUUCUUCGUCGAUUUUUGACUUAGCGCAUCCGCCACCACGUUAUCCUUGCCCGGGUGGUAGAGAAUCGUCAAGUCAUAAUGUAACAUACCACAUCCCUCGUAAAUCGUGCUGAGUUCCAUCAAAAUGAGCGAAACGGAGAAUUGAACGAGUUAGAAUGGACCCUAAGUGCAUUAGAGUUCAUAAACGGAGCAAAAAGGGGCCCGGAGAGCAAAUCUGAAAUUUGGCUAAGUCCCAGAUUUUGAGCUCUCGGGGACCGGUCCUUGAAGGAGAGACCGGUCCCCGUGCGCGUAGCCUGCCAGGAAGUCCUGAGGCAUCCGGUCCCUGGUGGUGAGACCGGUUCUCGGGAGACCGGUCCUUGACAGGCAGAUCGGUCCCUCGCUGUGCAACAGCCGAAAAACUCAAAAAUUUGGCUAAGUCCUGGAACACCCACGUUCGGGAACCGGUCCCUGGUCGGGGAGAUCGGUCCCUGAAGGCGAAAAAUGCCCAGUCUGGGCAGAUCAGGGGAAACAAAUGGAGGGGCUUAAGUGCAAUUGUUACAACACCAUAUAUGGCCCAUCCUCUCUCUCCCACAGCCAUUUUCACCCUUCUCACCCAUUUCCUCUCUUUCUCUCUCUAGAACCCUUACUCUAGGGCUUGAAGAAGAAGAAGAAGAAGUGAAUGGAAGGAGGAUUUGGAGGCUUUGGUGGGUUCUACAAGCUCUCCUACAAGAAGGACUUGGAGGAGCUUGGGCUAAGGUGAGUUUUUUGGUAGAAAUGAGUCCUAGGCCUUGGUUUUGAUCCUAAGUUUGGAGCUUUGGGUUGUUCUGGCAAAUUGGGAGUCUUUGUAUAGGCUUGAACUCCAGGAAACCAUGAGAGCUCAAAGUGUUCUAUGGUGCUUUGGUAGAGUUGCCAUAGAAGCCCUAGGGUUGGUACCAAAGGUCAAGAAAACCUUAUUAAGUGGCUUUUAGUUGAUCCUAAGCUAUUGUGUUGCUUAAGGUUGGAUCGAUUUAUGGAAACACUAGAAUGACAAUAUUAGGGCUUGAAUUUGGGGCUUUUGCCUUAGAAUGUUCGCGGGACAACAUUUGACACCUGUGAAACCUCAAUUGGGGGUGCCUAAACACGUUGGGAACUCCGUUUAAUCCAUUACGAAAAUGGUUAGAGUAUAGUUAAUGUACAAAAGGCCUGAUAUGGCAUCCGUUUUGAUAUAGGCGCAGAGUGCGGCAUUCGGUAAAAAUCCGGGAGUCGUCAUAACUACUAACGUACACCUGGACGCUUUGCAAAUUGCAAGGUCCUGAGUGUUUCGAUGUGUAUCCGAACUUUUUCCACACUUGGUGGAGGGCUCGUCGUGUACUACCGGCACUAAAAGUUCGGAUCUUCAGAACUUUUGGCAAGAAUCCUGAGAGUUUCUUUACCUCGAGAGACCGGUCCCUGAUAGAAGAGCCGGUCCCCUCUGGAACAGUGCUACGUACCGGCACAGGCAACCGUCCUGCAGUCGAGAACGCGGUUCCCACGAGGCGCAGUUCUCGCGGUGAGAGAUCCGGUUUCCAGGACGCAUGGAUUUUUCGGGUUCGGCAGCGAGAGACCGCGUGCCCUGCUGGGGAAGACCGGUCCCCUCUGGGCGAAAACUGCCCAGCCGGGCUGAUGUAAAUUUGAGUUUUUGAGGGACGCUACUGUGGAUUUUGUUACUUUAGAGCUAUAGGCGCCUCGUCCUCCCUCCUCACUCUCAUUUUCUCAUCCUCACAUCUUCUACACUUCUAGAGGAGAAUAGAUAGAGAAGAAAGAGAAGACAAGAAGAAUGAGCUUGGCAUAGAUGGCCUUGGCGAUGUCAUUCUUCUUCCUCAUUUUUCCACCUUUGGAGCUUUUGGAGCAUGCGGUUUGGAGCCUGUGUGAGGAUCAAACUCCAACCCUACUUGGUUUUGAGCUUGGAUUGGGGCUUCUCUUGAGGGUUGGUAGCUUAUAAUCCCCAUUGAUACUUGUUUUCCUAGGUUUUUGCCUAGAUGAAACCCUAGAUUUUGGGAUUUAGGUUUUAUUUUGGGUUUUUGGACUUUGAGGGUUAUAGACCUAAUUGUGGUUUGGGGACGGCUCUAUAUAGGUUAGAUUGGAAGACCUCUACCUUCGCAUUUGAGGAUUUUAGAGAGGGUUUCACACUUGAGUGUGAGUUUUUCCCAACACCUAGCUUGAGUUUGGAUUUAAUGUUUUGAUAUUCGCUCUUAGUUUCGCUUGGCNNNNNNNNNNNNNNNNNNNNNNNNNNNNNNNNNNNNNNNNNNNNNNNNNNNNNNNNNNNNNNNNNNNNNNNNNNNNNNNNNNNNNNNNNNNNNNNNNNNNCUCUCUCUCUCUCUCUCUCUAUAUAUAUAUAUAUAUAGUCCGGCUACUAUACUAUUAUGAGUACGAUCGCUCUCGUACUCAUAACUCCGAUCAAUAACUCCGAUCUUGAAUUGAAGGAUCCGAUCAUCUUUUUUUAGGACAUCGUUCGAUUUUGACCGUUCAUUUUAUGCCCGCUUGAUGGGCUUUAUUAUGAUUUUGAAAAUUUACGAAAUUUGUUUUCUAGAAGUUUCAAAUACUCUAGAUCAUAUUUAACGGAGUGGAUCGUCCAUUCGGAAGCUCCAUCAUGGAAAAUAACUUUUGAGUACGAGGGCUCCAAUAUUCAUAAUAGUAUAGUAGCCAUGGCCAUAUAUAUAUGAUAUGUUUUAAUAUAAAUAAUAUUAUUAUAAAUAUAAUAUAUAUAUUAUAUAUAUAAUAAAUUUAUUUAUUUAUAAUAUUAAAAAAUACCUGUCAUAUUCUAAACUUAAAUUUAAAUAGUUAUUAUGAACAAUAAUUAUAUAUAUUUUUUUAUUUUAUAAAAUUUAUAUAUAGCUAGAUAUAGAUAUACAUUGACUAUUUUUCUAUAUUUUUUUAAUUCUGAUAAAUUUAGAAUUUAAUAUAUAUUUAAACUAAAAGUAUCAAAAUUAAAAAGUUAAUAUAAUAAUAAAUAUUAGUAGAUAAAUAGAGAUAAUAUAUAUAAUAUAUAUUUAAAUAAAUUUUGAAUUAAAAUAUAGAUUCGCAAUAGAUAUUUUCCGGUUGGUAAAAAUUUGGAUAAAUAUAUAUUUUUUUUGUUGUAGAAAUAAAUAAAAAUAAAAAUUUAUUUAAUUCUGUUAUUUAUUUUAUGCAAGAAAAGAGGAAUCAAAAUUUUUUUCCUUCAAAUAUGGGUCUGUCACAGAUCGAAAUUUGAAAUACGUGAUAUAUAUAUAUAUAUAUAUAUAUAUAUAUAUAUAUAUAUAUAUAUAUAUAUAUAUAUAUUAUAUAUAUAAUUGGGCUCAUAUGCUUUUUAAAAGUACCAAAGUCAUUGGUGCUAUAUAUAAUUGGGCUCAUAUGCUUUUAAAAGUACCAAGUCAUUGGUGCUUGUAAGUUUUUAGCCCUUUGAUUAAGGAAUGUGCGGUUAAGAUGAUGUGGGCCCCUAGGGUUAAGUGGGUGGUUGGUUGAAUAAUAUAAUUUAACGGGGUGAAAAUGAUCAAAGGCGUAGAUCUAACGGCAAAAAAUUUACAAGCACCAAAUACUUGGUACUUUGACAAUCACCGUAGCCAGACUCAUAUAUAAUUGAGAGAGAGCAGUGGAAAGGAUUUUUUUAUAAAUUUUAUAUAUAUAUAUAUAUAUAUAUAUAUAUAUAUAUAUAUAUAUAUAUAUAUAUAUAUAUAUAUAUUAUAAUAUAAUAUAUAGGGAUAAUUUCAUAGAUGCCCUUCCAGAACUAUUAAUUUCAUCAAUGCCCUUCUAAAAUCGAUAAUUUCAUGAAUGCCCUCCAAUAUAUCAAAAAUUAUCAUAUAUGCCCUUCACUAGUUAAGUUCUGUCAAAGUCCCUUUAAAAUGGAGUUAUAUUUUUAAAAUACCAUUUUUACCCUUUAUCUCUCAUCAACAGUACAAAUACUAAUAGAUAUUUCAAGACAAUUUCUGUAAACCUAAAUUUAAUUAUUUAAUAUACUAAAUAUUAAAUUAAAUUAUUAAUAUAUAUUUAUUUUUAAAAAUGUCACGCCCCGGGGUCCCUUUUUAUUUGAACACAGCGGAAAAAGCGUCUAAAUUUAUUUAUUUUUUUUUUUUUUGACAAGCCUGACCCCAGAGUAUGUCAGAUCCGCCACAAACACAGGGAAUCCACUGUUCACACGGACAGAGUCUCCCCUGUAUUCGCACGGCGUCACACAAAUACAAGAAGUAACCCAGGUACAACCACAACCAAAUGAACAUACAAAUAACCAACAAUUAUAUAUUCAUAUACCAUUCACAUCACAGGUUCACAUUUAUAUAUUCGAUAUGUAAAUAUAAAUUCACAUCUAUCAGUUAAAAUGUUUCCAACCACAGAAAUAGGUUUUGAAAUACUAAGAUGCAAAAUCCACAGAAAAUCUUUUGAAAACUGUUUCCUACACGGAAACCUUUAUUCUUUAAAAACGCUACCACGAGGGGUAGAAAACCUUUUAUUUUACAAAAUCCAGAAAUCCGUUUAUUACAUUUACGAAAAUCCAUAUUUUCAAAUGUAAUAAAAAUACUGAACCAUAUAACUAUCUAAGUUAUAACAACUGAAACAAUAAGGGUAAUAACUAUACCGAAAUAACCUGGGUCGGAAGCUCUAUCGACCGCUACACACGUACCUCACGUCUCGUCCCACUAUUUACCGCCCGCGAUACCUGAAAAAUGGUGGGGGAGGUGAGAACAUGUAAACAUGUCUCCCCUCCUAGUGGGUACCGCAAGCCGAUGAAGGCGAGGAGUACUCACCGGAUCAGGAA